rnacentral:rRNA from 1 species
UACGUAGGGUGCAAGCGUUGUCCGGAAUUAUUGGGCGUAAAGAGCUCGUAGGCGGUUUGUCGCGUCUGCUGUGAAAACGCGAGGCUCAACCUCGCGCCUGCAGUGGGUACGGGCAGACUAGAGUGUGGUAGGGGAGAUUGGAAUUCCUGGUGUAGCGGUGGAAUGCGCAGAUAUCAGGAGGAACACCGAUGGCGAAGGCAGAUCUCUGGGACGGUACUGACGCUGAGACGCGAAAGCGUGGGGAGCGAACAGG